rnacentral:lncRNA from 1 species
GCCGCCAUGGCGCGGCCACCCGCCUCCGCCCCUUGGCCGGACUCCCGGCAUGCCCCGCGCCGGGGGGGCCCUUCUCAACCCACCCCCCCGCUCCCCCACCCCUAGACCCCCCCCCGACCCUCCCAACCCCCCCCGGGGGCCUGGCUCCUUCCUGAGUCCCCCCCCGAGGUCUGGCUCCCCGAGGGGACCCCCUGGCUCCCGGGGGGUGGUAUUUGGGUUGAAGGGGGGGGUCCAGACCCUACCGUGCCCCCCCCAGGGGGGGGGUCUCGCCGGGUGCUGUUUGCCGACGCUUUGGGGCUGCCCCUCGCCAGCCUCCGGCAGUACCCACCCGGACCCCCCCGGGGCUUUGAGGGCCCCCCCCCGGGGUCUGAACCCAGUGGGGAAAGGGGGGGCUGCGAGGGGUUAAGGGGGGAUCCGGGGGGGGGGCAGGACCCCGAGAGCUGGAUGAGGCCGGGGCAGGGCAGGCCACAAGAGGUGGAGGAGGAGCAGCCCCCACCC